UCGCUGUCCGCCGGGCUCCCAUCCGGCAAGAAGUCGUCCUACGUCGCCUGUCUUGGCUGCCAUUUGGUGAAAUCGCAGCUCCAGGUUCUUUGUCGAUCGUCUCUCUUUCUUUGCCGAGCGAUCGAUCGAUCGACCCGAUGCCACUGCGCAGUUCGCGACGGACGGCUGUGAGAACUGCGGGAAUUUCUUCGGGAGCGUGGAGGAGAGCACCACUUCCCUCUUCACCGGCGUCGUGUCGAUCAUGGAUUCCAGCCAGAGCUGGGUCGCGAAGUGGAUGAGGAUCGAAAGGCUCCUUCCCGGAUGCUAUGCCAUCACUGUGGAAGCGCCCGCGGCUGGAGAAGCGUGAUUUCCAUUUUUCUGAUCUGAAAUUCCCGCGUCGAUGAUAGCCGUCCGAUCUUGAUCACAUUACGUACAAUCCGUAUGUUAGCCGUACCACUUUG